GGGGACCCCUUCCAAGCCUCACUUAGCCGGCAGCCCUGUGGACUGCGGUGUCUGCACUUCCUAACACCCCAGCUUCGUCACUGCGCCAGCGACGCUUAUGUUGUGUGUGGAUCAGACUUCCCACGUGGGCCCAGCCCUCUUGCCUGCCUGCUGGUGCGCCUGCGCACGCGUUCUCUGUAACGGGGUUGCCCUGUUCCCCACCGCAGACUUUUCCCACUCAGCCGCACAGGACAUGUUUGGAGCAGCUCACGCACCCGUCCGUGGUCUCAGGAUCGCAGACACUGCUGUCGGGUGGGGCUCGGCCCCCUGCACCCGGACCGAGGACGUCAGGGCGCCUCGCCGCCGUAGCGGGUCCUGGAACAGAGCACUCAGUUCUGGACGCUGUGCUGCGCGGAGCGGGGCGGGCCCUGGGGUCUCCGUGCUGCCCUGAGCCCUGCCCACGGGAUCUCCAGCGGACUCUGGGGAGGCGCGCUCCCUCCCAGGCCUCAGGGCCCAGGUCGUUCUUCCGUAGGGCAGGGCUUCCUCCCCCAUGAAUAAAUAUAUGCUUUUCUUCUCCAGCAAAUAGGAAGCGCAAGGUUGAGUGCUCCGGGACUGGAGGAGACAGAGAUGAACGCCGGCUGCGUGGGCGGCGUGCAGCUACGGGAGGGGCAGGGGUCCAGGACCACACCAUCCUGCACCACCCAGGCCUCAGGGACCCCCACCCCGUGCCAGGACUGUGGAGACCAGUGUUCCUGGUGAUGGACGUGGUGUGUCAGUAUCCCCAUGGCAUGGCUGCUGGCAGGGGGCUGGCCGCCCCUGGCGUGUGCUGAUAGAGCCUCUCCUGACCUCCCCAAACCCCAGCUCCCCACCUUGCAGCAUCCUAGCACCUUUGGGAGUCACCUUGCUCCCCGGUUGUCUUCCAAGCAGCCCUGGAUGUGCUUUUCUUAACUAGCUGGGAGUCUGGGAAUGAGAAGGGACAUGGAGCUAGACAUUCCGAAGUGGCUCCACAGAGCCCAGCCCUGGGUGAGCCCAGCCCCUCAGCCCUGAGCUCCCCAGAUGUGGAUGGUUCAGCACCAUGGACAGCGGCUGCUGUCCACCUUGCCCUCCUCGCCCUCUGGGCCUGUCAUUGGGUUUGUGUGGGGUGCUUUGCAGCCGUGGGCUGGGAGACCAUGGAGCCGGCACCAAGAGUCUUCACGACAAGACUGAGUUCCUGCCCUGCACCGGCGGGGGGAGGCCAGGCUCAUGGGCAUGGCUGCGGGGGUGGGAAGGUGGUCCCCACCAAAGCUGCAGAGACAGAAAAAAGGGAGGAGCCAGGAGAAGGCUGAUGCAGGGCCAGUGGAUGCG
ensembl:lncRNA